UACAUGUGUAUAGUAAUAUUUAUAAAUAGGCAUAUUUAUAUUUUUAUAUGGGGAUUUAGUUACAUAGAUUGAUAUCUGUAUAGGUACAGGCCUCUUUUUAACCUGUUUCUCUGCUCUGCUUCCUCCCUCACUUCUUGCUUUUCCCCCUGUGCCCCCUCUGUCCCCUCUCCCUGUGCUGGGUCCGAGCUGGCGGCCGGGCUGGGCGGAGCAGCAGUUCCAGCCCCGGGUGUCCCUGGAGCGGUGGGAGCUGGCGCUGGCCCCAGGCACUGUCCCCUGAGGAGCUGCUGAAGGACGCUGCAAUGAGGACCUUGAGGACAGGCGGAGACUGACGGGAGCCAGCAGGGAGAAGCUGAAGGCCAGCAGCAGAGGCAGUGAACGGGGACCUGCUGCUGCCAGCCUGGAGAGAGCCCGGAUGUCCCAUCUGCUGUCCCUGUCCAGGAGAGCUGCUCUGCACGGGAGGAAGAGACCGAGGGAGAGGCUUUGAAGACGGGGAAGCUGGGAUCCCUCUGCUUAGAAUUUUGUUUAAAGAUACGCGGACUUGUACAUGGACAGGGAUUAUUAUAUGGAUAUGUGCAUUUGUAGCCUGCUAUUUGUACAGGCCUAUUUCUAUAUGUCAUUGUAUUUAUGGAUGUAUGCUAUAUGUAUGUGCAAUUAUAUAUUUUUUUUUUUUUUUUAAUUACAUAUAUGUGUAUAUAUAUGUAUUCUGUGCCUUCAAGACUUGCUCUGAAGAGCGAAUGUUUUGUUUUGGUUUUGUUAACAGCCUGUUCCCCCACGGCUGGUGGGUCAUGGAGACGGGGCAGUACAUAAUGCGGCUUUUGCUUUUUGCUUGGCUUUUUGCUUUGCUCUUGCUACUGCUUCGGCUUUGCUCCUGCUUUGUUCUUGCUUUUUGCUUCUACUCAUUAGUUAGUGUAGCUAAGCAGUCCAAAUUUUUCCCUGGACUGUUUUUCCUUUCCCUUUUUUGGAACUACUCAAACCUGCUCUGGACUGGGACCUGGGAAACAUUCGAGAGUUUGUACCUUGUGGUCUGCAGCAGCUAUCCCCAGGGCCAGAGGGACUGAUAACAGAGCAACGACUCCCAGGAGAGACUUUCUGAAUUUGUCAUCUUUUUCAGAGCAGUGAGAGAGUCUUGUCAUCCAGUAUUGUUCAUUUUGUGUGCUUUGGGGUGUUUUGGCUGUUAAAUAUACACAUUCUUUCCAUUUCUCUCGGAGGAAUCCUUCCCGAAACAGUUGGGGGGAGGGGUCCCCUUUUGGAGUUUUCUCCCAAAUUUUCCUUAAACCAGGACACCUGUGUAUACAGUUUUGUUGCUGUCUAUGUCUAUUGACGCAGUCAUGGCUCUUUAAAUAGGUAUUUUAGUAUUUGUAUUGGUAGAUAGAUGUACUUUUUUACUUUUAUAUGUAUAUUGAUCCAUUUCUGUGUAUAAUUAUUUUUACAUAUAUAUUCAGAUGUAUAGCUCAGAUGUGUAUUUGUAUUGAUGCAGUUGGUUGUAUAUUUAGAUUGGUACAGUGAUAUCUGUAUAUUUAGAGAUAAAUUUGUUGUAUAUAUCUGUUAUUUAUAUAGUACAUAAUAUGUAAUAUUUAAUCUAUAUUUACUUCUAUUUAUUGCUGUAUAUGUAUUUAUAUAUGUGUGUAUAUAUGUAUUUAGUUCUGUAUAAUUGUAUAAUUCUAUCAAUAGAGUUCUUGGUACAGGAUUACUUAAGAGAGGGGAUCCAUCUUUUUGUAUUUCUAUAUGGUCUGUACACUUGUAGUAACAUGUAAUAAUUUGUUAAACACCUAACUGAUCUUUUUGCAUAGUGAGGUGUUGCAGAGAUUUGCAGUAAAUUAGGUUUUGUUAACUGAAGUUGCUAUUUCUAUAUUUUUACAUAGACCGGUUGUACUAAUAAAUUUCCUGGGUUUAACCUUGAGAUUUGUAUAGUUGUGUAUUGUCAGCACGGGUGUAGCAAAUUGUAAUAAAUGACAUUUUUUGUCUGAAAUUGAUUCUCGUAUAUUUGUUGAUUAGCAGUGCGUCUGUAGCAAUCUGCAAGAAAUGCCAUUUGUCAGCUGCGAUGGGUGUUCUGUGAUUUGUGCUACCGAAAGCCAUUAGCAGAUGUAAAUGCUGGAGGAUUUUGGGCAUGAACAUCUCUGGCCAUGGCCAGCACAUGCCCCACCUGCACUCAGGCUGGGCAAGGGCAGCGCAGAU